CUGGGAUAAGUGAGGAGGAGUAGGCAGAGAGCUGCCCCCCCAGGCAUUAUUCAGGGCCCUGGGAUAUGGGGGACACUGGCAGGGUUGGGAUCCAGAACAACCCAGUCACCAUCAAGGGAAGGAGGUACCCACCUAACAUUGGCAGCAGCUUGCCUGUCUGCCUAGCAAGGGCAGAGCCUCUAAGGGAAGGAGCCAACUGUGUGGCCCCCAUGCCCUUUUUCUUCCUGCUGGAGGGGCCAGUGGGCAUGGGGGGCAGGCAGGGACUGCAUUGUGAGGCACUGGGGUGUGUUCAGAUGCUCUCUGUCAGCCGGGCGUGGUGGCGUAUGCCUGUAAUCCCAGCACUUGGGAGGCUGAGGCAGGAGGAUCGCUGUGAGUUCAAGACCAGCCUGGGCUACAUAGUGAGCCCCAGGUCAGUCUCAACUACAUAAUGAGACCCUGUCUCAAAAAAAAGCAGAUGCUCUCUGUCCUCUGAGCCUGAAUAUCCCCAGUGAUCUGAGGUCCCAGCUCGCGCUAGGGGCUAGCAGGCCUGGUGGUCAGUGCACUAGUCCUAUCCCCUGGCUUUCUAGCCACUGGAGGCCUCAGGGCCUGAGUUCUCAGAUGCCCACAUGACAUGGUUGAACUUUGUCCGUCGGCCAGAUGACGGGGCUUCCAAGCGACGGUGCCGAUGCCAGGAUAAGAAGCUGCGAGGUCUCUUGGGGCCCCCAGGACCCCCAGGACCCCCUGGGCCCCCAGGCCCCCCUGGUGCAGAAGUUACCCCAGAAGCCCUGCUGCAAGAGUUUCAGGAGAUGCUAAGAGGUAAGGCUGCUGGUAUCUCCUUCCAGGUCCCUUAGCCCCAUCAGGAUGGGAUGGGCCUGACCCUGUGUCGCAUUGGCUUCUUCCCCACAGAGGCCACAGAGCGAAGGUUCUCUGCACUGCUGGACACAUGGCUGCCACAGGUGAGUGGCCAGCGACUGGUGGUCGAGGCCUUCCACUGCCGGCUGAAGGCUCCUGUGCUGGUAGACCAGAGGACCCUGGUGGAGCUACGGGGCUUCCAGGCUCCUGCUGUCCAGGGUGCCUUCCUGAGGGGGUCUGGACUGAGCCUGGCCUCUGGCCGAUUCACAGCCCCUGUCUCUGCCAUCUUCCAGUUCUCUGCCAGCCUUCAUGUGGGUGAGCCAAGUGGCUGUGUGUGCAGUGGGAGGCAGAGGGCGGAUUGGCCACAGACUGCUCACUGGGAGCCCUGGGCCGCACACUACCCUCCCUGCCCCCACAGCUGCCACCAGGCCUGUCCUGGGUGGUAUCCUGAAGCUAGUGUCUCCAUAGACCACAGCGCACUGCAGGGCAGGGCCCGGCUGCGAGCCCGGGACACCGUGCGUGUCCUCAUCUGCAUAGAGUCCUUGUGCCAUCGCCACAUGUCCCUGGAGGCCAUCUCAGGCCUGGAGAGUAACAGCAGGGUCUUCACGGCACAGGUGCAAGGGCUGCUGCAGCUGCAGGCUGGACAGUACGCCUCUGUGUUUGUGGACAAUGGCUCUGGGGUGGCCCUCACCAUCCAGGGUGGUUCCAUCUUCUCUGGGUUGCUCCUGGGCACGUGAUGGCACCAUAGAGGAACCACCAGCCACCUCAGGGAGGAGGUGAAGAGGAUCCCCAAUAAUAAUACAGAGCUUGCAAUAAUAAAGAGCCCCCAGCCCUCCCUGUUGCCCAUGGAUGCUGCCUGGUUAUUGCAUUGGUGGAGGUGGGGGCUGGGCAGCUG
rnacentral:lncRNA from 1 species